AGAGUUUGAUCCUGGCUCAGGAUGAACGCUGGCGGCGUGCCUAACACAUGCAAGUCGAACGGAGCGAAGCACAGAACGCUUCGCAAUGGAUAACGAAUAAUGAAAAAUGAAUAAUUAAGGAAGAAAUUCGCGCUGCGCGAAUUUCAAUAAAAUGGAUUCGUGCGAAGCACGAAUCCCGCAAUAAUUAUUCAUUAUUCAUUAUUAAUUAUUCAUUUGCGAAGCGCUGUGCGCUUCGCUCAGUGGCGGACGGGUGAGUAACACGUGGAUAACCUGCCCCAGGCAUGGGAAUAACAACCGGAAACGGCUGCUAAUGCCCGAUAAGCCGGCGAAGCGGCAUCGCUUAGCCGGAAAAGAUUUAUCGGCCUGGGAGGGGUCCGCGUCUGAUUAGCCAGUUGGCGGGGUAACGGCCCACCAAAGCGACGAUCAGUAGCCGGCCUGAGAGGGUGAACGGCCACAUUGGGACUGAGACACGGCCCAAACUCCUACGGGAGGCAGCAGUGGGGAAUAUUGCGCAAUGGGCGAAAGCCUGACGCAGCAACGCCGCGUGAAGGAAGAAGGCCUUCGGGUUGUAAACUUCUAUCGCCGGGGAAGAAACCGCAUAGCGGUUGACGGUAC
rnacentral:rRNA from 1 species